rnacentral:rRNA from 1 species
GAUGAACGCUGGCGGCGUGCCUAAUACAUGCAAGUCGAGCGAACAGACGAGGAGCUUGCUCCUCUGACGUUAGCGGCGGACGGGUGAGUAACACGUGGAUACCCUACCUAUAAGACUGGGAUAACUUCGGGAAACCGGAGCUAAUACCGGAUAAUAUAUUGAACCGCAUGGUUCAAUAGUGAAAGACGGUUUUGCUGUCACUUAUAGAUGGAUCCGCGCCGCAUUAGCUAGUUGGUAAGGUAACAGCUUACCAAGGCAACGAUGCGUAGCCGACCUGAGAGGGUGAUCGGCCACACGGGAACUGAGACACGGUCCAGACUCCUACGGGAGGCAGCAGUAGGGUAUCUUCCGCAAUGGUCGAAAGCCUGACGGAGCAACGCCGCGUGAGUGAUGAAGGUCUUCGGAUCGUAAAACUCUGUUAUUAGGGAAGAACAAAUGUGUAAGUAACUAUGCACGUCUUGACGGUACCUAAUCAGAAAGCCACGACUAACUACGUG